rnacentral:ncRNA from 1 species
GAUACCUAUAGGCAAACUUGCUGAAAAGUAAGGACGCAAAGCUCAGGGUCUAAGGUUUCUUACAUGAAGAGACUAUGACAGCCUAGCCGCCGAU